rnacentral:Y_RNA from 1 species
GGUGGGUCUGAGUGCAGUGGAUGUCUACAACUAAUUGAUCACAACCAGUUACAGAUUCCUUUGUUCCUUCUCCACUCCCACUGCUCCACUUGACCAGACUUAA